GACGAACGCUGGCGGCGUGCUUAACACAUGCAAGUCGAACGCUGAAGCACCAGCUUGCUGGUGUGGAUGAGUGGCGAACGGGUGAGUAAUACGUGAGUAACCUGCCCUUGACUCUGGGAUAAGCCCGGGAAACUGGGUCUAAUACUGGAUGCUACAUGUCACCGCAUGGUGGUGUGUGGAAAGGGUUUACUGGUCUUGGAUGGGCUCACGGCCUAUCAGCUUGUUGGUGAGGUAAUGGCUCACCAAGGCGACGACGGGUAGCCGGCCUGAGAGGGUGACCGGCCACACUGGGGCGGAGACGAGGCCCAGACCUCGCACGGAGGCAGCAGUGGGGAAGAUUGGACAAUGGGCGAAAGCCCGGUGGAGCGACCCCGGGGGGGGGAUGACGGCCUUCGGGUUGUAAACCUCUUUCAGCAGGGAAGAAGCCACAAGUGACGGUACCUGCAGAAGAAGCGCCGGCUAACUACGUG
rnacentral:rRNA from 1 species